rnacentral:lncRNA from 10 species
AAGUGGGACUCUGAGACAUGGAAUGGGGACAUAUAUGUAGACACUGAGAAGUGUCCCACUCUCUUUGUUGAAAGGUGGAAGUGGCCCCUUCUACUUGUUCAAAGACUAUGCAGAGGCCUUAAAUGAAUCAGGUGCACUAUAAGAAAAUGCUUGCCUUCCCCAGGAUUUGCAACCACUUGGACACUAGACUCAUUAAUAGGGCAAGAGUUCAGCAUAACCAGAAUAACUCUACUGGAGAUCUGGUCCUGCUGAAGAGAGGGAUCAUAUAUCAAAGGAAAUGCAGGACGUGAUUCAUGUGUGCAAGUAGGAGAGUGUGGAAGUGAAUCAUCCGCAUGCCGGAUCAAGGACAGUCAAAUAAAAGCUGGAGAAAGAAGAGAUUAUCAAUAUGAGAUCCCUUUUCUGUGACACAAGAUUAAACACCAUGGCAAUGGCUCUGAGUGACAGGUUUAGUAAGCUGCUAGGAAGGUUCCUGGAAGCAUGAAAAAAGUGAUGAUGCAUAUUAAACAAAGUGAAGAUGCUAUAACUUCCAUGGAAGUCUAUAGAGAAAAUAUUUCAAGGACCCAGGGGAUUUGGCAUGCCAGAAUGUAUUUACUGUAUAAAACUGGGAAACCCACUAAUGUGUACAUUCCUUGGGAGGGCUUAGAGGACACUUUAUCAAAGCAGUAGGAAUGAGCUGGUGAGGAAGGUGUCAGUAUUGUUGAGAAGCCCAGUGGUGCUGUCCUUUAUGGGCAGGGUUGACAGUAGGAGAUGCUGUAAUUGUGCCUCCCAGGAGCAAUGUGGAUGAUAGGAUUUUAGAAUAGCAGAGGCCAACAGACAGCACUUAACCAAUGGAAAUUAGAAGGGCAUAAUUAGCAUAAUGCAAAGCAACUUGGGAUGACAGUCAGGGGAACCUGAUCCACAGGGAUUUACGGUGAUGGCUAAUAGAACAUGAUGUCCAUAAGAAUGGGAAAGAUGGGAACUCAGUGACAAUAUUAUUAAUAUACAUACCCUAAGAAAUCAAGAACAGACAAGCAGAAAACAAGAAGCUGACCCAACAGGAAGUCUCCUGAUCUUGCCCAGUUUCCAGACCGAAGUCAUUUCUCAGUUACAGCAUCUACAGACAGAGAGUCCAGAGCCCCAUGAAGAAAGACUCUACCACAGUGUGUACGAAAAAAUGCAAAAACGGAAGUGGAAAAGAAGAACUGGAAGUCCACAAAUGCCUUCUCAAGCAUCUUUUUAAGGAAAGUGGUCAAAAGGAGUUUGUG